rnacentral:misc_RNA from 1 species
GUAGGUGAACCUGCGGAAGGAUCAUUAAUUUCGGUGGUUUACCACUGUAAUGAGGGGGAUUUCGGUCCCUUCUCUCCUUCCUUGUCUUUUGCGUACCCAAGUUUCCUUGGUAGGCUUGCCUGCCAAUUGGACAACCUAUAACCUUUUUAAUUUUAAAUCAGCGUCUGAAAACUAUAAUAAUUACAACUUUCAACAACGGAUCUCUUGGUUCUGGCAUCGAUGAAGAACGCAGCAUCUGACUGACUACGUG